GUUCAACCCUAGGCAUACACUACUCGCAACACGACAACAGCGCAUUUUCCAUUAUGCCGAAUUUUUAAGUAAUGCCAUGUUGUUGAUCCAUUUUCAAGGGGAUUUGGCACCCACGUGCGGAACUUGCUAACUCGCGUCGUCACACAUCGGCCCUCCACUGCCCUUUGCGCCCCACAGCAGCGGUUCUUCCCUGCACAGCCCUAUCGCUUCCCCCUAUCCCGGUUACAGCCUCUGUGACACCACGACAUUUACGUACACACAAGGGAAUUCUAGUUAUACUAGACCCCAAUAUAGUUUACUGUCUAGUUUACUAUAAGAUUCUAUUUUUUCACAUGUUGCAACAAAAGAUAUUCCGUACGCGCACUCUGCCAGCUGCUCCGCAUACCCUAUGAGACGGCCAGCAAGACAAUGACUGAUGGACCGAGGGGCCACGCAGGGAGAUGCGGACAGCUAAGGAAGAAAUCCCCUCGGGCGGUUCCUGAGGAGGCGUUUGCGAGCAAGACCCCAUAGCAGCGGCUUCGAAGGUCUCCUGCUUCUUUCGUGUUUCGUGUGCUCUUCGCGCACUCGCCUUCUUAAGGCAGAUUUUUCCUUCACGUGAGUGCGGGCUGUCCACUCACCCAACCACCAGGACCGCAACCGAACCCCCGGCAACGCAAGAGAUACAAUCCCUCCACAUCAGCAGCUUGGCGGAGUUGAUGUACAGGCGAACCCAAAGUUAACACGGCCGGACUCCGGGAGUACACUCUACCUACAAUACACUCCAAGAGUAUUUGUUGCGAAGUUAUCAUGCUGCCAAGUUUUGUUUGUGCGUUGAACGACUACGCGCAUUGUUCGGCGUGACCGGUGGUAGCGUAGAACUUGCUCUCCUAUCGGCGAUGAGUGCGCGCCUACGGGCGCCAUUCAAACACGCUGUGCGACACAUGGAUGCUAUUCCACGUUCCUGGCAACUUGCAAUGUGGCCCCCUGCUGGUUACCGGCAAGAGGGCGACCUUCGACGGGGGGAAGGGGCAUACGCGCAAGGUCGUUAAACGAUACGUCGAUGGAGGUUUUUCGACGUCCAGGGUUUUUCUACAGGCGACAGACAGAAGGCAAACAGACGCGGAACGGUUCUCCGGGCGUACAGUGCUUUGAAAACUCUGCCGGGGCCAUGUCUUGUAGUUUUACGGGAUUCCAAGGCAGCCGCGCAGUGCCGGGCUGGAAGCUGUUGACGCGGCUGGGAGCUUGGUUGUGACCAGCAACCUGAAUUUGAUGGUUGCCAACGAGGGCUGGUACGCAGACAGUUGCUGCAAUGAAAACGAGUGAAUUAAUAAGGUCUGAAACGGCCCUGGCCUGCGGCUCAUGUAUUGGGCGAAGGACAGUGCUGCUUAAACAACGGCCAAGCUAGGAUUGCACUAUGGCACGAUGACAUCACAAACAUAUGUGGCAUUGGACGCGGUACUUAUCUCCAGUAAAUUUACUAGCCGCAGGGUGUUACCUCUAUUGCAAAAUAGCUUCAAAGAUUUGUGAUGGCAUUCCAACUCGAGCUAGGUCAAGUGUGAGGCAGGCGAGCUCAAGGCCCAAGUAUAAGAAUUUGUCAAAUUAUACCUAAUGAACUGAGCCAGUCAGGUCUGACGUGUCAUGCAUCAGCUACCAGCUAGCCGUUGCUGAAUGCUUACCAUAGGACGUCCGUUCCGUCCGCAAAAUUUCCACUUCCAGGCGCGACGAAACAAAGUUAUAAGCUUAUCAUGUAACCUUCGUAAGUAUACGGGCUUGCCGGCUGGCAGGUUUGUUGCCGUACAGAGUAAGGGCGGUUGUCCGUCGUCAGCAUGGU
rnacentral:lncRNA from 1 species